rnacentral:lncRNA from 1 species
UUACAGAACUUCUUUCCUGUUACAGUAUUUUAGUAACUGUAUUGAGGACAUAAGCAUGACCCUGGGAAUAAAAUUCUAUGGUUAACCUCCUUACUGUGGGGAUGACCAGAGUUUGGAGGAACUGCAGCCCUCCCUCUCUCUUGCUGUGGAGGACACCUUCUUUAAACAAUGAGUGAAGAGAGAAGUGGAGUUGAGACUAUCCUGCAGGCAUUUCCUUUAUACAAGUUCUAUUCUGAAGCCAACCGAUGUAAGAAGUAAAAUGUGGGUUUCUUCUUGGAAGAAAACAA